GACAGAGGGUGCAAACGUUGCUCGGAAUUACUGGGCGUAAAGGGUGCGUAGGUGGUUCGAUAAGUCAGUUGUGAAAUCCCUGGGCUUAACCUGGGAAUUGCAUUUGAUACUGUCGAACUAGAGUGUGGUAGAGGUAAGCGGAAUUCCCGGUGUAGCGGUGAAAUGCGUAGAUAUCGGGAGGAACAUCAGUGGCGAAGGCGGCUUACUGGACCAACACUGACACUGAGGCACGAAAGCGUGGGUAGCAAACAGG
rnacentral:rRNA from 1 species